UCAGUGUGUGUGUUAGUGGAAGCGUCUGGAAAGGCGUGCGAUACAGGGUGACAGCCCCGUACACAAAAAUGCACAUAUUGUGAGCUUGAUGAGUAGGGCGGGACACGUGGUAUCCUGUCUGAAUAUGGGGGGACCAUCCUCCAAGGCUAAAUACUCCUGACUGACCGAUAGUGAACCAGUACCGUGAGGGAAAGGCGAAAAGAACCCCGGCGAGGGGAGUGAAAAAGAACCUGAAACCGUGUACGUACAAGCAGUGGGAGCACGCUUAGGCGUGUGACUGCGUACCUUUUGUAUAAUGGGUCAGCGACUUAUAUUCUGUAGCAAGGUUAACCGAAUAGGGGAGCCGAAGGGAAACCGAGUCUUAACUGGGCGUUAAGUUGCAGGGUAUAGACCCGAAACCCGGUGAUCUAGCCAUGGGCAGGUUGAAGGUUGGGUAACACUAACUGGAGGACCGAACCGACUAAUGUUGAAAAAUUAGCGGAUGACUUGUGGCUGGGGGUGAAAGGCCAAUCAAACCGGGAGAUAGCUGGUUCUCCCCGAAAGCUAUUUAGGUAGCGCCUCGUGAAUUCAUCUCCGGGGGUAGAGCACUGUUUCGGCAA
rnacentral:rRNA from 1 species